rnacentral:lncRNA from 1 species
GCUGUCUGGUAGACUUACAAGAUCUUCACAACCUGUCAGAUUUAGCUCAGUGAGGCCGCUCAUAUUUCUAGUGAACGAAGGCAUUUCUCUUAUCCCAGUAGAAUUCAGAGUCAGUUGUAUCAAGCAAUGCAUAUCUCCGUUGAUUUCUGGAAAUGCAUUAUAGAGAUGACUCACAAAGGUUCUACGUGUAUCUUUGUGACAUAACUUGACCCUUAGACCAAAAAAGGAAAAGAAAAAACUAGAAGUCAUUAUAUUUUUGCUGAUUUUAUUGUAAAGACUAGACUUUACCUUUUUUCAUUAUUCCAAGCCUCUGUAGAAAACUUGUUAUCAUCUUUCUAAUUCAUGACAUAUCAUUGUACCCUUUUGCAGUAUUGCAGUGACAAAUUAAACAAAUGAGUAGCAAAUUGGGGACAAAUAUAAGUUUUCCCCAUUUUAACUUAAUCAUACCUUCCUGUAAAUGAUAUAAAUUUGUUGCCCUACCUGAGGAAUUGUCCAGAAAUUGAAGAAAAAUUUCAUAAUAAUUUAGAAGAAAAAGCAGAAAAGAAUGACUGACCUGAGAGAACCACACCAAAAGCUAACUAUUGAGGUAUAUAAGAGCCUGUUUGGAUUCAGAAUAGUUUUAAAGUGUUUAUGUAAAUUUAAAAAGAAAUAGGCUUCAAUCAGCUUAUUGAGCUACAGAAGUUUUCUCAACUCACAAUGGAGCAUCCAGUUUUUAUAUUUACAUUAUAUAUACAAAUUCUAUGGAACAAUAUCACCGUAUACUUGAGAGUCAAUUAGCAGCAAACACAUCAUAAACAGAAAUACUACUUCUACUUUUUAUGGCUAAACAGAUCUUAUAUAAGCCCAAUAUCAGCUUCACAAAUGACAUACUAAAAUCUCAUACCCCUUCCAAUAGGACUCAAUUAUUUUUAAUAGCAUUAAUUUUCAAAUUAAAAAUGUCUCUCCCAAUCCAAGUUACCUUUUACAUAUAAAGGGAUCUUAGGAAGAUGGUGUGUACGUAACUUUACCCUUACCUAGUUAAGGUAGAGAAGUUGUUUCCCACUCAAACACCAACAUUAUAAAUAAAAAUUUCAUCCAUCUAUCAUCGAUACAAAUUCCUGGUAUAUAAUUAAUUUUCAUUUGAGAAGGGUACAUACAAAUUGUACCAACAAUGUAGAACAUACACUUUCCAUACCAUUUUAUGAUACAUGUUUGGUUGAAUACAAAAUUUAAGAAAGACAGAAAAAUAUUUGAAAAUUGUGAUGUAAAACAAGUCAUAAACAGACCUUUGCAUCAUUUGGGUUCUUCCCUUCUUUAUUGUCAGAAGCAUACCACAAUGUUUCAAACGGUAUAUAGGCACAACAAAUGAAAGGAUACUCGAACCUCGAAUAUUCAGGGAUGUAGUUCUACUCCAAGGAAUAUUUUCUUUCAGGGUCAGACUUGCAGACCAAUGUAGCUUCUAAUCUUGCGUCCAGUCUAGUAGGACCGUAACUUAUCAAAAAACCCAUGAAUUUAUCAGUAUACCAAAAUGGGUUCAGCUUAAGACAACAAAUUACGAGAUUUUUGCUGCUCUUCAAAGUUAGAUGAUAAUCAGCAAAUAGCUCCCUUAAAUUUGGGGGUAGCUCUCCUGGCAGUUCAUUAAGAUUCUGACAGAAUUAUACGUUCAGAUGCUGAAGGUGUAAGAGUCCUUUGAAGCUUUUUGGUAAACAAGAAAUAUUGCUUCCACUUACAUUCAAAUUUUCCAAAGAGUGCAAAGAUCCUAAAUCCUCAGGAAGUCCACUCAAUAUGUUGUGAUUAUUAAGAUCAUGUGAUGUCAAGGAGGAUAAACCUGAUACUUGAUUCAAGACAAAACUUGAGGAAUGUUGAAAUUGUUGUUCAUGUGAGAAUCGUAACUUCCACAGUUUGCCAAGCUUAGUGAUGGAGGGAGGUGGUUGGGAGAUUGCAGUUUCGCUCGCAUCAAGUAUAUGUAAAUCUUGCAAAUCACCAAUGUUUUCUGGAAGCUUCUCUAGCUUGUUGCACCCGUCGAGGUAAAGACAUCGAAGUUUCAUCAAAUUGCAGAUAUUCGAGGUCUCCUAGAUGCCCAAUGGAUGAAGGCACUUCUCUUAUCCCAGUAGAAUUCAGAGUCAGCUGUGUCAAGUAAUGCAUAUCUCCAUUGAUUUCUGGAAAUGUAUCUAAUUUUGGGGAAUUAGAUAUCUUGAGCUUUUGAAGGGAUUUCAUCUGAAUCGAGCUUGGAAGCUUCUUUAAGUUCUCACAUCCAUCUAUCUCUAACAAACGGAGCUUCUUUUGAACUCCAAGAGAUAUGGGGAGCUUUACCAAUCCAGAACAUCGGUAUAUACCAAGACAUCCCAAUUGCUGUGAUUCAAAGAGGUUGUUUGGCAGUGUUGCAAAUUUAUUGAAACCUGAAAUACUGAGAUCUCUAAGAUUUUGAAUGGCGUCCAGAAUACUCUCAAGAACUUCACACUCAGUCAAUUGCAAAUUUCUAAGGCUGCUGAAAGAUGGAGGUAAGCUUCUUAUCCACGGGUAUUUUACAUAGAGUAUUGAUAAGCGCGGCAUAUCUCCACAGAUUUCUGGAAAUUCUUCUAAGCUUGUGCAUUCAAGGAGAUUGAGAGUCUCAAGAGAUCCCACGCAGACAAAUUUUGGAAUCUUCUUAAGUUUGCGAUAACCUUCCAAACUCAAAUAAGUAAGCAGUCUGCAAUGUCCAAAUGAGGAAUGGACCUCUUCCAAAUUCACACACCGUGUAAAUUUAGUGUCUCUAAGUUUGGCAUAUCACCAAAAUUAGGGGUUUUUCUUAACUCACAGCUGUCCAUGAGAUCCAAAUGCUUCAAGUUGCUCAAUUUCUGUUUCCAAAAAAAAAAAAGAACAGUGAGCUUAACUAGUACUCCUAAUAGAAAUAUUUUGUAGGAAAAAAAAAUAAAGAGAAGAUAAGGUUGUUAUGAUCAUUAAAGGCGGUAGCCAAUCUGGAAAAGAACUUUUGAGAUACAUAAUUGUCUUAAAAUCCAAAUAUAUAUUUCUUUUCUUUUAAUUUCAUAAUGAAAAUAAAACCUCUUUAAACCUAGAAAUAAUUCCUUCUCAUCUUUGUCCAGACAAUCAAAACUAAGCCUAAGCUUUCCUAAAAUAUCCUUGUGAGGGAUUCUCUUCAGCCGAUCAAUUAUGUGUCUCCAGUGCUUUUUGUCUCGUCCGUAAAAUGAAGAACCCAAAACUUUAAGAGCUAAAGGGAGUCCACCAGCAUGGUGCACCACUUGUCUUGAAAGUUCCAUAAAAUCUUCUUUUGGUGAUUUUUCUCUAAAAGCAUGACUACUGAACAAUUCAAGUGCUUCAUCCUCCGAUAAUAGUUGGACUUCAUACACGUUAUCCCCAACGUGACUGAUUAACAGGUGCUUGUCUCUUGCCGUUAAAAUAAUUCUGCUACCCCUACCAAACCACUCUGUCCCUCCAACUAAAAAUUCCCACUGUUCUUGAUGGUUUACAUCAUCAAGGAUGAACAGAACUUUCUUCCAGCGAAGCAUAUUCUUUUAAAUAUUCAUCCCUUCAUGCUCACUAGUUAGAGUCAAUUUUUCACCCAAGAGCUUGCAAAUGACAACUUGUUGUAGCCAUGUUAGUCCAUUUUUCUGAUGAAGUUUUCCAACAUCACCAAGAAAACAAUCAGCUUCACAUCGAUGGCGGUAUCUUUGAUGUAGAAUAUUUGCAAUUUCUGUCUUGCCGAUGCCGCCCAUACCCCAAAUGCCGAUGGAGCAAACAUCAUUUGAUUCCAUAUCUAAUAAUGAGGUUACUUUCUCAACCUGAGAUUUUUUACCCACUAAACUUUCCAGGAAAGGUGAAAUAAUUUGAAGUGACUUGGGAAAUAUGACAUCAACUAACUUCUUGAUGCACUCAGCCUCAUCCCUACAUUACAGUGAAAAUACUCUCAGAGUAAAUAAAUAGAAAAGGAAAGACUUGUCAUAGAUUAAUAUCUAAAGCAAACACAUAAUAAUGUCACAAAGGUUGUUCCCCCGCUCUCCCCCCCCCCCCUGGUGUCAUAAGGUAGCUUAAAUCAACUAUUAUGAAUUAUAACAUUUUAAAAUCUAAUUACAUCAUCAAACAACCAGAUAGCUAAAAGUUUGGUCCUUUUUCCUCUUGAUAAAGAGAAACCCGAAGAAAAGAAGAAGAUCACUUACUUGAAAUUUUGUAAAUGAUACCCCGAUAUUUUCCCAGCCUCCGCAAAUGCACCCGUCCAUCUCUGAACCUUCUCCAUAUCAUCUUUGCAUUUUUCCUCAUGUUGUAAAAAUGAAUCAGCAAAAGGGGGAUGUUGAUGGCACACAUCUGAUUGACUCACAUCAUAGAAGACUGGAAUCACAAUCUGCUCCAAUUCCUUUUUACACUUUAUGAUGUGUGCAAGCUCCUCUAAACACCAUCUUGACGAUGCAUAGCUUUUUGAAAAUAUCACUAUAGCAAAUUUAGACUCUUGUAUGGCUUUCAAAAGUUCAUCAGAAAUUGAUUUUCCCGUUUCUAGUCGCUCAUCAUCUUUAAAAGUGCGGAUCCCUCUUUGUUCCAAAGCAUUAUAGAGAUGACUCACAAAGUUUCUACAUGUAUCUUCACCUCUAAAACUCAAAAAGACAUCGUACUUGCAAAUUUUGGAAGAAGAAGCAUGAGACAUUGUUGAAGGAUAUAAGACUAACAGGUAACUUCUCAGCCCAACUAGCAACAUUAUUUCUCAGCUAUGUGAAUGCAUAAUUUGGUCAAAAAGAGUGAAACAGUUGAGUUGACCAACCUGGUCAAAAAGAAAGAAAAGACAGACAAAUUUCCAGUUUAAUAAUAAAGAACAAGACUUCACCAUUUUCACUAUUCCUAGUCUUUAUGAGGAACUUGUUAUCAUCUUCCUAUUUCAACUUAUAAAAUGUUAACUUUUUCAUUACUGUGAGAAAUUAAAGAGUAUAAAAACAGACAAGAAGACUUACACCAAAAAAGGCAAAGAAAAAACUAAAGUCAUUACAUUUUUACUGAUAUUAUUGUAAAGACUUUACCUUUUUCAUUAUUCCAAACCUCUGUAGGAAACUUGUUAUCAUCUUCCUAAUUCAUGACAUAUAAUUGUACUCUUUUUCAGUAUUGCACUGACAAAUUAAACUAAUGAGCACCAAAUUGGGGCACAAAUUUAAAUCUUAACUUAAUCAUACCUUUCGGAAAAUUGAUAUAAAUUCGUCGCCCUAACUGAGAAAUUGCCCAGAAAUUGAAGAAAAAAAUCGUAAUAAUUUAGAAAAAAACACACAAAAAGCAGAAAAGAAAACUGAC